CAAAGGGGAACAUCUUAAUGUCAGCAAGUAUACGUUUCCAUGUUUUGCGUCUGAAUGCAAUGCGAAGCGUUUUCUUCACAUUCCGUUUUCUCUUCUCAGUGCCUAAGAAAUCCUGCUCGUAAAAAGCAACAACUGCCGGCUCCAACGAUUUUCAGCAUGGAGGAGACUGAGUCAUUCCUUCUUGAAGAAUUGCAGGUACCGACAGAAAACGGAGCAUACAAGACGUGAUUUUCUCCUGUAGAUGCUUCCUUGAGGUCUAUCAACCGGUGGGAGCUACGUGAAUGCACAAGAAGCAUUGUUCGAGCAGAGAGAAGGUUCUCUUGUUGGGGGUAUCAAGCAGCAUCAAAUGCUUGGAUGCUUGAAUAGACCCUCAGAGUAGCCCCUCUGCACAUGAGAAGAGUUAAUUUAUGAUUGCAAGUGGGUAUGGAACUACAGGAAGAUCCUCAAUAAAGACGAGCAGUUCUAGGACUGACGGUUUUGUCAU